CUGCUGCCUUCCGUAGGAGUCUGGUCCGUGUUUCAGUACCAGUGUGGGGGACCUUCCUCUCAGAACCCCUAGACAUCGUCGCCUUGGUGGGCCGUUGCCCCGCCAACUAGCUAAUGCACGCAUGCCCAUCCGUUAGCCGGAAUCGCUUCCUUUAACCGGCG
rnacentral:rRNA from 1 species